GUGCCAGCCGCCGCGGUAAUACAGAGGGUGCGAGCGUUGUCCGGAAUUACUGGGCGUAAAGGGCGCGUAGGCGGCCCGAUAAGUCGGAGGUGAAAGUCAGCGGCUCAACCGCUGGACUGCCUUCGAGACUGUUAGGCUUGAGCAUGGUAGAGGCUGGCGGAAUUCCCGGUGUAGCGGUGGAAUGCGUAGAGAUCGGGAAGAACAUCGGUGGCGAAGGCGGCCAGCUGGGCCAUUGCUGACGCUGAGGCGCGACAGCGUGGGGAGCAAACAGGAUUAGAUACCCCGGUAGUCC
rnacentral:rRNA from 1 species